rfam:Dipodomys ordii contig_65548, whole genome shotgun sequence.
GGGAAUGUGGCUUAGUGGUAGAGUACUUGCCUCGCAUGCAUGAAGCUCUAAGUUCGAUACCUCAGUACCA